AGCUUUUUUCUUAGGUGGAAGCCAUAUAAACUUAAGUUUUUUGUUCUAUUUAAAAAAAAUUAAGAAUCUAUAUUUUUACUGAUUUUUUCCACGCAGCUGGUAAAGUGAAUUAAUAAUGUGGAACCAGAGCAUAUCCUUAACCAUACGUAGGAGAUUCUAAAAGUGUAUCCAUAUAAUUUGGAGAGUCAAAAUACUCAAAACUGAUAGAGCUAUGAUUAAACAAUAUUCCUAUUCCGGACAUGAAAAAGAAAAAAAAAAGAUGAGUUAAUUCUACAUGUGGCAGCCUGGACUUAACCAUCUGUCUCUCCUGCUAUGUCAUUAACAUUUGAGUUAGAAGGCCUCUUUUUCAACCCUCUGUUUUGCAUGAUUCUUAGUCUUUGACGACUCAAUCGUAACCUUCUGUUCCACAUGAAUAUUAUGUAGCGAGAUUAUAAGUUGUGUGUCAUAGUCCGAGGUCAUUUUAGCUGACAUGGAAGCGGAUAUCACAGGUAUAUCUACUUUUUGUGCAUCUGAUAAAUUAGAAGCUCCAAACAAACGAACAGAAUAAGUAUCAAUGAAACUAAUCCCCCACUACCUUUUGCAGUUCCUUGAUGACAGAGAUACAAUCCCCCACUGACCAUGCAACUUUCAUAAUAGUCUGAUAUUCAGAGAAGUCUGAUAAUCUUUUUAUCAAAAAGAUCAGUGUGAUGUCAUUUUAUUUGAUAUGUAAAUGCAGAACCAUUUGUAAAUAAUAACUGAUGUCUUUUGGAUGAAUACAAGAAUAGAAGUAUAUUAUUAUCAA